rnacentral:rRNA from 1 species
UACAGAGGUCUCAAGCGUUGUUCGGAUUCAUUGGGCGUAAAGGGUGCGUAGGCGGCGCGGUAAGUCGGGUGUGAAAUCUCGGGGCUUAACUCCGAAACUGCAUUCGAUACUGCCGUGAUUGAGGACUGGAGAGGAGACUGGAAUUUACGGUGUAGCGGUGAAAUGCGUAGAUAUUCGCAAGAACACCAGUGGCGAAGGCGGCUCACUGGCCCGAUACUGACGCUGAGACGCGAAAGCGUGGGGAGCGAACAGG